rnacentral:tRNA from 1 species
GUCUAAAUAGUUUAUUAAAAAUUUAAGUUUGUGGUACUUAAGAUGUAAGUUUUUUACUUUGGACU